rnacentral:tRNA from 1 species
GGAGGGGUGCGAGAGCGGCCGAAUCGGACGGUCUCGAAAACCGUUGUACCUCCGGGUACCGUGGGUUCAAAUCCCACCCCCUCCG